rnacentral:tRNA from 2 species
GGGAGUAUCGCAUAGCGGCAAUUGCAGGAGACUGUAAAUUUCCCGACCUAACGGUCUACGAUGGUUCGAGUCCAUCUACUCCCACCA